UUGUUUUUGUUACGAUAUAUUACAUUCAUUACGCAUAGGUUUUUGGUUUUGUUUGUGCGCCCCCGGACCCUCACGGACCCAGGGACAAACGGUUCACGGUGUGUGUGGUAUAGACACGGCCAUCAGGCCAAUCUCUAAUGAUCCUUCCGCAGGUUCACCUACGGAAA
rnacentral:misc_RNA from 1 species